rnacentral:rRNA from 1 species
GCCUCAGUUAAAUUAUGUGAGGUAUUGCCUGCUCAAUGCGAAAGUAAAUAGCCGCAGUAUUCUGACUGUGCGAAGGUAGCAUAAUAAAUUGGUCUUUAAUUGAGAUCUGGAAUGAAUGGCUUGACAAGGGUUUGACUGUCUCAAGAGAAGUGGUAAUUUGAAAUUGAAUUGUUUGUAAAAAUGCAGACAUAGAAGAGAUGGACGAGAAGACCCUAUAGAUCUUUAGUGAAUUGCUGGUUUAAAACUUUAUUACUGGUAAUUUACUUUAUUUGGGGAAAAUCCUGAAAUUUAAAACUUCGGUUAAAAGUAAAAAUUGGAAUUGUUGAUUUUUGAUCCAUUAAAUUUAUAAUGAAAAAAUGAAAAAGUUACCUUAGGGAUAACAGGACAAUGAUCUUCUGAGAGGCCUUAUCUUUGGAGACGUUUGUUACCUCGAUGUUGAAUUAAGUUAUCUAAUCUAAGGAGAGAUUUUUAAAGUUGGUCUGUUCGACCAUUAAAAAC